GGAAUUUUGCUCAAUGGGCGAAAGCCUGAAGCAGCAACGCCGCGUGAGGGAUGAAGGCCUUCGGGUUGUAAACCUCUUUUCUCAGGGACGAUGAUGACGUUACCUGAGGAAUAAGCCACGGCUAACUACGUGCCAGCAGCCGCGGUAAUACGUAGGUGGCAAGCGUUGUCCGGAUUUACUGGGCGUAAAGAGCGCGCAGGCGGUCGUGUAAGUCGAACGUGAAAGCCCCCGGCUCAACUGGGGAGGGUCGUUCGAUACUGCACGACUUGAAGGCAGGAGAGGGAAGUGGAAUUCCCGGUGUAGUGGUGAAAUGCGUAGAUAUCGGGAGGAACACCAGUGGCGAAGGCGACUUCCUGGCCUGUUCUUGACGCUGAGGCGCGAAAGCUAGGGGAGCGAAC
rnacentral:rRNA from 1 species